GCUGAACUUAAGCAUAUCAAUAAGCGGAGGAAAAGAAACUAACAAGGAUUCCCCUAGUAACUGCGAGUGAAGCGGGAUGAGCUCAAAUUUAAAAUCUGGCGGUCUCUGGCCGUCCGAGUUGUAUUCUGGAGAAGUGCUUUCCGCGCUGGACCGUGUAUAAGUCUCUUGGAACAGAGCGUCAUAGAGGGUGAGAAUCCCGUCUUUGACACGGACUACCAGUGCUUUGUGAUGCGCUCUCAAAGAGUCGAGUUGUUUGGGAAUGCAGCUCAAAAUGGGUGGUAAAUUCCAUCUAAAGCUAAAUAUUGGCGAGAGACCGAUAGCGAACAAGUACCGUGAGGGAAAGAUGAAAAGCACUUUGGAAAGAGAGUUAAACAGUACGUGAAAUUGUUGAAAGGGAAACGCUUGAAGUCAGUCGCGUUGGCCGGGACUCAGCCUUGCCUUCCGCUUGGUGUAUUUUCCGGUCGACGGGCCAACAUCGAUUUUGACUGCUGGACAAGGGCUAGCGGAAUGUGGCACCUUCGGGUGUGUUAUAGCCGCUGGUCGUAUACAGUAGUUGGGAUCGAGGACCGCAGCUUCGGCUUAGGAUGUUGGCAUAAUGGCUUUAAACGACCCGUCUUGAAACACGGACCAAGGAGUCUAACAUGCCUGCGAGUGUUUGGGUGGAAAACCCGAGCGCGUAAUGAAAGUGAAAGUUGAGACCUCUGUCGUGGAGGGCAUCGACGCCCGGACCUGAUCUUCGGUGACGGAUCUGCGGUAGAGCAUGUAUGUUGGGACCCGAAAGAUGGUGAACUAUGCCUGAAUAGGGUGAAGCCAGAGGAAACUCUGGUGGAGGCUCGUARCGAUUCUGACGUGCAAAUCGAUCGUCAAAUUUGGGUAUAGGGGCGAAAUACUAAUCCAACCAUCU
rnacentral:rRNA from 1 species